UUUUUUAGGUCAGUCCCGCACAAACAUCUUUCCAAUAUUCUCGCCUCACAGAACUCCCUCUCAGAGAGCCCUAAUUCCAUGCCCGUACAAACCUUCUUCGCUCUCAGCCUCUCCCCUUAAUUCCAUUCAGGCCAACACAAACCUCUUUCUCUCAGCCCUCAUUCGAUGAGUUAAGGCUCAGCUCUCACUCACCCUCUGCGUGUACUUGGACCGGAGCUCACAAUCGUUUGCUAGAGGACCAUUGAAGACGCCGUCGGUGAGCUCGGUGACCGGAGCUUAUUCUUCAUCAUCUGCAACCAGCUCUAUUCCAGAUCACUACGACACCAAAGACUUCUACUCCUACCUCGUUCGUGGCAUCCUUAAGCCCCUCAACAUUCAACAAAGCUGUGUCAUCUGCCUCCUUCGUUAAACCUGCUUUUAUUAACUUUUUUGGUGGAUUCCAUGGAGGAGCUAUAGCUUCUCUUGCUGAGGUUGUGUUGGUAGCUACUGCAAGAACAGUUGUGGUUGAGGAUAAGGAGCUUUUUCUAGGGGAACUAAGCAUCUCUUACCUCUCUUCUGCUCCAAAGAAUGGAAUCAUGUGUGGCUGCUGGAGGGGAUAGCUGAUUUUUGAGGUUAAUGGUGCUAUUGGAGCCAAUUUAUUUCAUGUCCUCUGUGCCAUUCUGGAAGCCGUUGUACUUCUAGCUAUCUGUCAAGGUGACACGGAAUAAUCUUUUCUGCCUAUCAGUUCUCUUGGGAAUUGUUUACUUCAAGGGAUUGAAAUGGGACUUCUCAUCAGAGGUUCUGACUCUCACAAUUGCUUGCAUUGUGAUGGGUGCUUUCACUGGCUUCGGAAAUAUUUUGGCUCUUUGGACAUAGCUGGUCAUAGCUACCUCAUGGGAGAUGCAAGAGUUCAAGAAGGGUGGUACUUGGAUAGUCUAGAUCAACAUUGCUUCCUCUGCAAGGCAUUUGAUAGAUUUGGAGUGCUGGUUGUGCAUAUAGCAUGUCUAUCCUGACAAAUUGAACCAAUCAUAGGAGUAACAUUCCGCAGCCCCUACUGUGCCACAUGCAUUGUCCACAAGGAGGACUUUGGGAGGUACUUGUGUAAAGUCAACUAUAUUAGGGAUAUUGUUGUUUUGUAUAUAUUGCCAGUUGCAAGUGCAGAUUGUUAAUCUGGAGUAAUAGUCUAAUACCAAUUUUAUAUUUUAAUUAAUGAGUUACUAGUUCUAAUUCGACUGCUACAUAUCUAUAAGAAAUCCACUGCGAUAUAAUGACUAAAUCAACUGAAAUAAAUAUAAUUUUAAAUUAGUGUUGGACUCCUUCCCAAUGAGAAUUUUUUGUUUGUCUUGUCUGUAUCAACUUGGAAUUAAUAGAGGCUAUAUGAAAUGCUAGUUAUAUGCUAACAUGUUCAACAUUUCCCAUGGUAGAAAUUAAUCAAGCAGCUAGAUCCUCAUCUGUACUGUUUAAGCUUUUCGCAUAUCAUCUGCUUUCUUGUUCAAGUCAGACAUGAAAACUGUAUGCGUUACUUUACUUCUUUUUGCCAUAAUACUGUUCAAAGUUGGAGGCCGCUCUCUGCAACACAGCUCAUCUAAUUUAGUUUCAGAUGGCAAUGAUAAUAUUGAAGCAGUCACCCAAACUUCUCUUCUUGUUUUUGGAGGAAUAGAUUCUUCAGAGGACUACAGUCUACUCUAUGGCUUGUUUCCAUGUUCUUAUACCAUUUUGGGGAAACUCUUCUUGAUUGUGGGAUAUGUUCUUCUGUAUAUAAUUGGAGAAUAUUAUGUCGUUGCUGGAGGUGAGCUGAUUUUUGAGGUUAAUGGCUCUGUAGGAGCCAAUUUGUUUCACUUCCUCAGUGCCAUUCCAGAUGCCAUUAUACUUCUAGGUUCUGGUGUGAGUACAGAAAUUUGGACUACUUAUGCUGCAAGGAUUAUGGUCAUAUCUAUCAUCCCAGUUGUUGUUUCUCAAAUACCUCAAGUUCUCCACUUAAGUUCAGGUGGCCAAGGCCUUGCAAUUUUAAUUGCUCUCAUUGUCUCCGUGAUACUUACUAUAGCUUAUAUCUUCUAUGAGGUAACUGAUUCAUUAAUCUGUUGACAGCUUGUGGAUAUGUAUAAUAAAGUUACUAUAGAUUAUGGAUAUGGAUAUGUACUUUUGGAAAUGUUUUGGAUUGGCAAUGUAAGAACAGAUGGCAUUGAUAUAUGACAAUGUUAUAUUUUGGAUUUGUUCAGGA